rnacentral:lncRNA from 1 species
CUUAACCGUAUAUUUAUGCUUAAUCCAACGGAGGAAUGUGACAUUGAUGAAAUUGAAAAUAUGACCGUUGUGCAGGACCUAUUUAUAAUCCCUUGUUCUUCAAAGAGAUCGAUGAGUUAUGGGGUCUUUCAAGAAGAACUAGGCAAGUUUUUUUGAAGACGGAUGCAAGAGUUAGAAAAUUAACAGAAAAACAGGGAGUCAUUUUUUUAUGAUAAUUUCUAUAAUUUCUUCAGCUAUAUGAUUAUCAUGUUCUUUAUUCAAAUAUAGAAUUAAUCUUGAUGGAUAGUUUCAAUUCAUGGUUUUGUUAUUUGGUCGAACUGGUGAUUAUUUUGGGUUUCACUGGAUUUUUUUGGAGAAUUUUCUGGGGGUUUUCAUUUCAUAUACGGCUCUUUUUGCAAUUUUAACAAUUGCCUCAUGGUUUUUCUAUCAAGAAGAACUAGACAAGGAUUUUUGAAGAUGAAUUCGAGUUCUACUUCAGAGAAUCGAGAAAUAAGUUAAUAAUAAGAUUCUUGACAAAAAAGCAGGUCAGUCAUAUUUUCAUGAUAAUUUCUUUAGUUAUAUGAUGAUAAAACCGGGUUCAGUGGAUUUUUUUUUUUGUUGAAUUCUCUGAGGGUUUUCAUUGAAUUUCUAACCCUUGGGAUUAAGCAAAUUUGAUAUCUCUCGUUUCUAUAAUUUCUGUAUUUUUUUUAAAAUAAUGUUCUUUGUUGGUUCAUUUUGUUGAAUCUUCUAACUUGUAAGAUAUUUUCUGGGUUGAAUUGAUGAUCAUUUUAGGGUCACAUUGUAAUUUUUUCUGUGAAAUUGCUUUGGGUUUUCACGAUUUUUAAUGGUUGUGUUUGGUGUUUCCUUUUUAUUCAAUUUAUGGCUAUUUCAGCAAUUGUGUACCUUAGGUGAUAAUGUUCUCUGUUGUUGUGUGUAAUUCCUUUGUCUUGGCAAUUGCGUUCUAUGGUGCAUUUGAAUGGGUCUUGAAGGAUUUUUCCUUUACUGUAUUUAAAAUUGUUCUGUGAAUUUUAUAUGGCUAGAAUUCAUUAAUGGAAUUUGUGUUUGGUUUGAUUAUUGAAAAGUUUUGGGUUCCCUUUUUAUCUUAUUUAUGGUUACUUAGGAAAUUAGUUACUUCGGCGAUUGUAUUUUGAGUGUAUCGUGUUCUCUGUUUUCUUUAAUUUUUCUAUCUUUACACAUACAUUCUGUUUUGGUGCAUUGGCUUGACUCUUGAAGGAUAAAAUUCCGGGUUCAAUUUUGAUUUGCAAGAUUUAUUUAUCUGAAUUCUCUGUGGAUUUCAUUGAAUCUUUAAUAGAAUUUGUGCUUUUUCUGUUUGGAUAAAUAAGGAUAAUUGAUAAGAAGGGGUUUUCUUUUUAUUUUAUGUAAGGUUCAACAAUUAUGUUUCUUAGUGAGAUAAUGUUCUUUUCAUGUUAAUUCCUUGUGUAUUCACGAUUACAUUCUUUUUGGUACAUUUGGAUGAAUAUUGAAGAGUCUGUCUUGUUCUCUGGAUGAUCAAUCUUGAGUUUCACUGGAUUUGUCUUAUUCUGGGUUGAUUUUAAUGUACUACAAGCCUUUAGUUUGGUUUGUGGUUCCUUUUUCAUUUUAUGUAUGGUUAUUUUAGACAAUUAUGUUCUUAGAGCGAGGAUGCUCUCUUUAUUUCUGUAAACUUGAUAUUAAUUCUCUCUGUAAUUUAGAUGUUGGUUUGUGAUUUUGGUUGGGCUUUGAUUGAGUGAACUUCGACUGUUAGAUAUAUUAGAGUUCCUUUUGGUUAUGUAACUUUUUUUUCUGGGUCUAUAAUUUCAUGUUUAUGAUUUUACGUUCUUUGUUGGGAUGAAUCUAAUAGGAUCUUUUUUGGGUUUUGUUUGUUGGUCUAACUGAUGAUUUAGCUUCAAGUGUCAGUGGUGCACUAAGGGUUUUUUCCUAGUUUGGUUUCUGAUAUUUCAGCAUUGCUCGCACAGCAGCACCCGAAUUCUCACACAGUAGCACCCGAAUCUUCAUAUUUAUGGAUAGGUUUAAAUUACAAGCGGUACUACCCUAUAUCGAUACUCCAUCUUACCAUGAUUAUCUUAGUUUUUAUGGUUUUUCGGGUCUAGUUCCAUCGAUCUCUUCUUUGUUAACAAGUGAAUAGAUCUAUUCAGAGUUCAUUGAUUUUAUUGUUCAUUGAUUUCACUUUUGCUCUAUGAUCUAAUCGUAAUAUUACUUUCUGACAAAGGUCCGAUGCUUAUCCAGGUAACUGUUUCUUCAUUCCACUUUUUUUGUGGUGGGUAUGUAUUGCAUCGGUUGAAUUCAUUUAUCUCUACACAUUCUGCAAUUUAUAGCAGCUUCGCCUAAUAAGAUGUCAACUUUUCAUAUUUCUAUUUCUGAAGCAAAUAAUCUAUAAUCAAUCUGUUAAAGAGAAAUUAAACAUUCGAAUGUCUCUAGAAGGCUAAUCCACAUUCCUGUUCAAGAAGAACUCAAUUAGAUUUCUACAGAAAAGCAGCAACCACAAAACCGUCAUCGAACUUGAAGAGUCUACGCACCUAUCUCCAGGUUUGUCUUUGAUAAGAUAAUUUUAGUUUGUUUUUAUUUUAGUUUUCUCUAAUUCACUUCGUUUCAUAAUCAAUUCAUUUUGUAAUCAUUAUUGGUAAAUAUGC